rnacentral:tmRNA from 1 species
GGGGAUAUUUAUGGUUUCUAUUGGGAGAAUCGUUAGGACUAUAUGCUUUCAGGGAGAUGUUUGUAGGCUUCCUUAAUCAAUUACAAACAACAAUAACUAGAAAAACUAGAACUACAACUGGAGGACUAAAAGCUUUUGCUAGAGGUCUUGCUACUGUAAAAAAUAUUGCAUCUGUAAAAGUUGCAUAAACUCACUUUCCCAUUGAAAGACGAGUUGUAGCCUUCCUGAGGGAUGAGUGUCGGAUGACCUGCUACACAUUUUAUAAAAAUUUAGCUUUAAAAGUUUUAUAAAAUUAUCAAAACAAAGCCUUAUAAAAAAGUUUUUUACUAUUUUUCUUCGUUUAUAAGUAUCAAUAAAAUAUUAUUUUUACAUACUUUUUGUUUGUUUUCUAUUUGUAAAAAUUAUUCAAAAUAAACUAUGAAAGUAGAAGUAUUUUUCUAGCCUUCCAAGACAUGAGUUCAAAUCUCAUUAUCUCCACCA